UACGGAGGGGGCUAGCGUUGUUCGGAAUUACUGGGCGUAAAGCGUGCGCAGGCGGUUUUGUAAGACCGAUGUGAAAUCCCCGGGCUUAACCUGGGAACUGCAUUGGUGACUGCAAGGCUUGAGUGUGUCAGAGGGAGGUGGAAUUCCGCGUGUAGCAGUGAAAUGCGUAGAUAUGCGGAGGAACACCGAUGGCGAAGGCAGCCUCCUGGGAUAACACUGACGCUCAUGCACGAAAGCGUGGGGAGCAAACAGG
rnacentral:rRNA from 1 species